rnacentral:rRNA from 1 species
CACGUAGGGGCCAAGCGUUGUCCGGAUUUAUUGGGCGUAAAGAGCGUGUAGGCGGCCAGGUAGGUCUGCUGUGAAAACUCGAGGCUCAACCUCGAGACGUCGGCGGAAACCAUCUGGCUAGAGUCCGGAAGAGGAGAGUGGAAUUCCUGGUGUAGCGGUGAAAUGCGUAGAUAUCAAGUGGAACACCAGUGGCGAAGGCGAAUCCCUGGAAAAUACCUGACACUGAGGCACGAAAGCUAGGGGAGCAAACAGG